rnacentral:rRNA from 1 species
GAGCGCCCCGCAAGGGGAGCGGCAGACGGGAGAGUAACACGUGGGAACGUACCCUUCAGUUCGGAACAACCCAGGGAAACUUGGACUAAUACCGGAUACGUCCGUAAGGAGAAAGAUUUAUCGCUGAAGGAGCGGCCCGCGUCUGAUUAGCUUGUUGGUGAGGUAACGGCUCACCAAGGCUACGAUCAGUAGCUGGUCUGAGAGGAUGAUCAGCCUCACUGGGACUGAGACACGGCCCAGACUCCUACGGGAGGCAGCAGUGGGGAAUAUUGGACAAUGGGCGCAAGCCUGAUCCAGCCAUGCCGCGUGGAUGAUGAAGGCCUUAGGGUUGUAAAAUCCUUUCGACGGGGAAGAUAAUGACGGUACCCGUAGAAGAAGCCCCGGCUAACUUCGUGCCAGCAGCCGCGGUAAUACGAAGGGGGCUAGCGUUGCUCGGAAUCACUGGGCGUAAAGCGCACGUAGGCGGCUUUUUAAGUCAGAGGUGAAAUCCUGGAGCUCAACUCCAGAACUGCCUUUGAUACUGAGAAGCUUGAGUCCGGGAGAGGUGAGUGGAACUGCGAGUGUAGAGGUGAAAUUCGUAGAUAUUCGCAAGAACACCAGUGGCGAAGGCGGCUCACUGGCCCGGUACUGACGCUGAGGUGCGAAAGCGUGGGGA